rnacentral:rRNA from 1 species
UACGUAGGGGGCAAGCGUUAUCCGGAUUUACUGGGUGUAAAGGGGGCGCAGACGGCGAUGCAAGCCAGGAGUGAAAGCCCGGGGCCCAACCCCGGGACUGCUCUUGGAACUGCGUGGCUGGAGUGCAGGAGGGGCAGGCGGAAUUCCUGGUGUAGCAGUGAAAUGCGUAGAUAUCAGGAGGAACACCGGUGGCGAAGGCGGCCUGCUGGACUGCAACUGACGUUGAGGCCCGAAAGCGUGGGGAGCAAACAGG